rnacentral:rRNA from 1 species
UACGUAGGGUGCAAGCGUUGUCCGGAAUUAUUGGGCGUAAAGAGCUCGUAGGCGGUUCGUCGCGUCGGCUGUGAAAACCCUGAGGCUCAACCUCAGGCCUGCAGUCGAUACGGGCGGACUUGAGUACUGCAGGGGAGACUGGAAUUCCUGGUGUAGCGGUGAAAUGGCGUAGAUAUCAGGAGGAACACCGGUGGCGAAGGCGGGUCUCUGGGCAGUAACUGACGCUGAGGAGCGAAAGCGUGGGUAGCGAACAGG